rnacentral:sRNA from 1 species
GCUGGGCUCAGUGGCAUGGGCCUGUAAUCCCAGCUACGUGGGAGGAUGAGGCGGGAGGAUCAUAAGUUUGAGGCCAGCCUCAGCAAUUUAGUGAGACCCUGUCUCUG